UUGAGAGUGGCGAACGGGUGAGUAAUAUAUCGGAACGUGCCCAGUCGUGGGGAUAACGUAGCGAAAGUUACGCUAAUACCGCAUACGAUCUAUGGAUGAAAGCGGGGGAUCGCAAGACCUCGCGCGAUUGGAGCGGCCGAUAUCAGAUUAGGUAGUUGGUGAGGUAAAGGCUCACCAAGCCGACGAUCUGUAGCUGGUCUGAGAGGACGACCAGCCACACUGGGACUGAGACACGGCCCAGACUCCUACGGGAGGCAGCAGUGGGGAAUUUUGGACAAUGGGCGCAAGCCUGAUCCAGCAAUGCCGCGUGCAGGAUGAAGGCCUUCGGGUUGUAAACUGCUUUUGUACGGAACGAAACGGUGAGCUCUAAUACAGUUUGCUAAUGACGGUACCGUAAGAAUAAGCACCGGCUAACUACGUG
rnacentral:rRNA from 1 species